GUGUUUGGGUGUUAAACCCAUACGCGUAAUGAAAGUGAACGGAGGUGAGAACCCUUAAGGGUGCAUCAUCGACCGAUCCUGAUGUCUUCGGAUGGAUUUGAGUAAGAGCAUAUUGGGUGCGACCCGAAAGAUGGUGAUCUUUACGUGAAUAGGGUGAAGCCAGAGGAAACUCUGGUGGAGGCUCGCAGCGGUUCUGACGUGCAAAUCGAUCGUCAAAUUUGCGUAAAGGGGCGAAAGACUAAUCG
rnacentral:rRNA from 1 species